GACGAACGCUGGCGGCGUGCUUAACACAUGCAAGUCGAACGCUGAAGCUCAGCUUUUGUUGGGUGGAUGAGUGGCGAACGGGUGAGUAACACGUGAGUAACCUGCCCCCUUCUUUGGGAUAACGCCCGGAAACGGGUGCUAAUACUGGAUAUUCACUGGUCUUCGCAUGGGGGUUGGUGGAAAGGGUUUUUCUGGUGGGGGAUGGGCUCGCGGCCUAUCAGCUUGUUGGUGGGGUGAUGGCCUACCAAGGCUUUGACGGGUAGCCGGCCUGAGAGGGUGACCGGUAACAUUGGGACUGAGAUACGGCCCAGACUACUACGGGGGGCAGCAGUGGGGAAAAUUGCACAAUGGGCGGAAGCCUGAUGCAGCGACGCCGCGUGAGGGAUGGAGGCCUUCGGGUUGUGAACCUCUUUCGCUCAUGGUCAAGCCGCAACAAUGGUUGUGGUGAGGGUAGUGGGUAAAGAAGCGCCGGCUAACUACGUG
rnacentral:rRNA from 1 species